rnacentral:rRNA from 1 species
CCCUUAGAUGUCCUGGGCUGCACGCGCGCUACACUGAUGUGUCCAGUAAGCACCUAACUUCUUCCGAAAGGAACGGGUAACCUUUGCAAAGCACAUCGUGAUGGGGAUAGAUUAUUGCAAUUAUUAGUCUUGAACGAGGAAUUCCUAGUAAGCACAAGUCAUCAGCUUGUGUUGAUUACGUCCCUGCCCUUUGUACACACCGCCCGUCGCUCCUACCGAUUGAAUGUUCCGGUGAGCUCUUCGGACUGCGCGGUCUGCAGUUUCUGCGUUCCGUGCGGAAAGUUGCGCAAACCUUAACAUUUAGAGGAAGGAGAAGUCGUAACA